CUUGCUCCCUGGCGGCGAGUGGCGCACGGGUGAGUAACGCGUGGGUAACCUGCCUCACACUGGGGGAUAACAGUUAGAAAUAGCUGCUAAUACCGCAUAAGCGCACAGCAUCGCAUGAUGCAGUGUGAAAAAUUCCGGUGGUAUAAGAUGGACCCGCGUCUGAUUAGCCAGUUGGCGGGGUAACGGCCCACCAAAGCGACGAUCAGUAGCCGACCUGAGAGGGUGACCGGCCACAUUGGGACUGAGACACGGUCCAAACUCC
rnacentral:rRNA from 1 species